rnacentral:rRNA from 1 species
GACAGAGGGUGCAAACGUUGCUCGGAAUUACUGGGCGUAAAGCGCGUGUAGGCGGACUGGUGUGUCGGAUGUGAAAUCCCCAGGCUCAACCUGGGAACUGCAUUCGAAACUGCCAGCCUUGAGUGGUGGAGAGGGAAGUGGAAUUCCUGGUGUAGAGGUGAAAUCGUAGAUAUCAGGAGGAACACCAGUGGCGAAGGCGGCUUCCUGGACACCAACUGACGCUGAGACGCGAAAAGCGUGGGGAGCAAACAGG